rnacentral:rRNA from 1 species
UGCUUGCACCGAGAUUCAACAUGGAACGAGUGGCGGACGGGUGAGUAACACGUGGGUAACCUGCCCUUAAGUGGGGGAUAACAUUUGGAAACAGAUGCUAAUACCGCAUAGAUCCAAGAACCGCAUGGUUCUUGGCUGAAAGAUGGCGUAAGCUAUCGCUUUUGGAUGGACCCGCGGCGUAUUAGCUAGUUGGUGAGGUAAUGGCUCACCAAGGCGAUGAUACGUAGCCGAACUGAGAGGUUGAUCGGCCACAUUGGGACUGAGACACGGCCCAAACUCCUACGGGAGGCAGCAGUAGGGAAUCUUCCACAAUGGACGCAAGUCUGAUGGAGCAACGCCGCGUGAGUGAAGAAGGCUUUCGGGUCGUAAAACUCUGUUGUUGGAGAAGAAUGGUCGGCAGAGUAACUGUUGUCGGCGUGACGGUAUCCAACCAGAAAGCCACGGCUAACUACGUG